CAGUUAAGCAAAUUAAAUCACAACUCAGAAAUCACAACUGAAGGUAAUCAAUUCAUAUUACAAAUAUAUUCAUGGCUUUGAAUUAACCUCUAGCCAAAAUAAAAUUAAUUACACAUUAUUAAAAACAGAAAUAAAAUAAAAGUUUAGAGAGAGUAAACCGAAACGUAAAACAUGAGUUUGAGAAGAUAACACCAAUAAGAAUGGAAUGAAGCCCUCUGCCUCUGUGCUCUGCGCAGUCCUCUCGGUUUUUCUUGGCUGUCCCGUCGAGGCAGCUAUAAGCUGCUUCUUCCCGCAAGUCAGCUCCAAGACAGCCCUCACGUUUUCUGCGCUCUUCUUCUCUGACCUGAUGUCUCUGUCUGACACGCUGCCCAAAGGCAGCUCACCUUCGUGCUGACCUCCCUUCGUGCUGACCUCUGUCCCGUCUCACUCCCUCUGACUCCCUCUCGUGUAUCUGCGAGCUGCCCAAAGGCAGCUCCUUUUCUUCUUUCCACUUCGCCCCCUGUCCCUCUCUGCGAGCUUCUUCACGCUGCCCAAAGGGCAGCCUCUUAUUCCUCUCGGUUUUCUUCUGUUUUCACUCCCCCGAGGCUCCCUUAUAGUUCUGUGCGCUGUCCCCACUUCCUCCUGCUUCUAUUCUAUUCUUUAAUUUUCUAUUCCCACCAGUCAAUCCCCACGUUACCUACUCCCCCUCUUAUUUUAUUAUGCCCCCCAUCCUGCUUUCCGUCCCAUUUCCUUUAUUUUAUUAUCCCAUUAUUCCCAUAUCUUCCCACUUUCUGACUCCCUCCAUAUUUCUCUUUUUCGUUUCUGCCUUUCCAUUUGUUCUGCUGCAUCACAACUCUACCUUGCUCUCAUUGUAUUUGUUGCUCUCUUCUUCUACAAAACAUGAAUCAUGAUUAUUUUUCUUUUUUUUUUAAUUUUAUUUAAAAACUGAUCAACGAAUUUAUUACAUAAAAUUUCACUUGUUCUAUUUUUAUUUUCUUUGCAUAACAAAUCCUAUAAACACAAAAAUAACGUAAAUAGCUCAAAAAUAUAAGGAACUAACUAAGAAAAGAUGAGUGAAUUUGAAGUAAAAAUAUAUAUAAAUAUGAUCCGAUCAAAUACCCCCAUACUUAGCUUUUGCUAGUCCUCGAGCAAAACAAAGAAAACAUGAAAAAGUACUAACAUGAAAAACAUUAGUUUCCCCCUAUGUGACCCUCAUAGAAUUUCAUUCGAGAAAACAAAUCAUCAAGAUCCAUGGCUAGCACCAAACAAAAUAAUCCAAGUUCAUCUUCCUUAUUCAAAUAUUAGCAGUAAUCUUUGAAUCAUCCUUGAAGUGUAGUGUGUGAGAUAGCCAUGCUAAUGCAAUUUCAAGUUUUUAUUUUUAAAAUCAUCAUAUGCAAACUAGCGACCUUCUCACGGGAUAUGCACUCAAUCACACAUGUGUUUAGUUUUAAUGUGUUUCGCUCAAAGAAUCAAAUGUGAAAUUUCUACCAUAAGCUUGCAUAAAGAUCACUUCUCCACAGUCAUAAUUGCAAAACUUAAAUCAAGAGGACUUUUAUUGGAUGUAAUGAGGUUUAGGGAUAGGGUUAUUGAAACAAAAAGAAUAGGAAACACAAAUUCCAAGCUACAUUGCAAGCAAUUCUUUUUUUUAGAUUUAUAAGAACUCAAGCUCUCCAACAAUUCUUCUAGCACCUCCAACCAUACCCUUAAACUGAAACUUGAACAACUUUUUAUUUUCUUUGUGUACAAUUUUUCUUUUUCUUUUUCUUUUCUUCUCUUUUUUCCCUUUUUUUUUUUUUUUUUAUAUACAAACAUGAAAUACCCCCACACUUAUUCUUUUGCCAAACACCUUCAAAGUACUUCACAAACGUUUCUCAUAAGACAAUCUCGCAUUGCUCGCUUGGAAAGGGUAAUGAAAAAUGUUUCAGGUAUAAGGGUAGACAUAUCUGGUGAUAAGAAAUAAAAGGUUCAACAUACACGGCUCAAAUUGGCAAACUAAUGAUAUCAUUUUUCUUUGGGAAACAUGGUUAUUUGGGCCAUAGUGGUAAACCUAAUGCCUCUAUCAUUUCCAAGUUCAUGCAAUCAAUGACAAACAAUUCGAAAGAUCGUUACGCAAGUUCUAGAGAUGUAUCUCACAUAAGUUCAUCACACAUAAAAAAAUAGGAGUGUAUGAAAAAUGCACACACUUUCAAUAGGCUCAAAAACUCACAUAGGAUGUAUAUGGUCACUAAAUUCACAUAUGAAGCUUUAAGUCAUACUUUAGUUUCACAUUAACAAGGCUAUGUGCAUUUGGUUUUUCAAAGAUGGUCAAACAUGUACAAAACUAACAAGAGAAUUAGGAAUUUCACCAAACACAUGUUAACUAAGUUCUUGAUGAUCAUGGUUCAAAUUUUUGAUCCAAUUAUAUCAUUGGGUCGGGAAACUAACAAAAAUCUGAUUCAGAACAAUAAGGGAAACAAGACAAUAUUUUUGGAUUUUUAAAUUUUCCGAUUUUUUUUUUUUAUUUUUUAUUUUUUAUUUUUAUUUUUUUAUUUUUUUUAAGAAAACAAAAACUAACAACACAGAAACAAAUGAAAUUCUAGAGAUUUCUACCCCCACACUUAAACUUGACAUUGUCCCCAAUGUCAGAAAACACUAUAAUGCAAAUAAAAAAAUAAAAUAAAAUAAAUAAAUAAUAAGAAACAAAAUAACGCAAUUGGACUGAAAACUUCCCUAAUUUGCAGUAAAAUCAAGCGAUGACCCCCAAGCUAAAAUUCUGCAAUCAACUUCAAGGGUGGAAAUAACCAAAAGUUCCUGCAAAGAAAAGAAAUAAUUCAGUUAAGUACGCAAGAAAAUUAAUUAAAAAAAAAUUGCAAACGAAAAAUUGAAAAUUACGAUAAAAGAUAAUGAAUAAAACUAAUAAGUAAUCAUUGGUCGUGCUUGUUGACUUUCCACAGCUUUCCUCUUGAACAGGGUAACACUUAGCUUUUCACUUGCAAGUGAUGAUUUUAUGAUAUUGUACGGCGAAGCUUUGCUCUUUGGUUAUGUUGCAGUUCCUUAUUUGUUCUCCAAGCAGAUGUGGUAGCUUCUCUAGUUCUUCAGUUCGGACUCCUUGUGCUGGGUUGAUUGUACGAGCUGCAUUCUUCUCUGCUUGUUUCUUCAGCACGGCGGGCAGGCACGAGGCAAAGGUGUUGGUCCUUAUUUCUUUCUUCAAUCUUUCCAAGUGCCCACCUCUUGCUUUCUUUCUCCUUGUCCCUAGCUGAAUUGUCUCCACAUGCUUCGAGGUAUCAUUUUCACUUCCCUUACUGUCCCCCAGGCAGAUGUGGUAGACGAAGAGAAAGCAUAAAAUGAUGAAGAUGAGUACUCGAGAGCAAGGCCAGGUAAGCAAUCAGGAAGGGGUUCCAGGCAGUUGGCUCCAGAUCGGAAGAUUGAUACCAAAUGCUGGCUGAUUGCUCUCUUUCUCCUUGUCGGAAAACAAAGACAAGGAGAAGGACAUGGGAGAAAGCAUGAUAUGAGAUACUCUUGCUUUCAACCUUUAUGAUAUGAAAUACUUUUGCUUUGAAUGGGUUGUUCGCAGGAGUAUCCCAAGGAAUGAGGAACACAGAGUGACUCGAGAGGAUUCUUUGGGAAUGCAUUUUCGGAGAUGAAGAGGUGUUGAGAGGGUGUGCUGAGAGAGUGUGCUUUUGCUGUGGAAGGCGAAGGUAGAAACUUAUAGGACUUGCCUUCACAACCGGAACUGUUCUCUCACUCAUUGUCGGCAGCCGGUGGAUGGAUGAAUAGUACAAAUUACGCGCUUUCUGACAAAGCUGCCCGUAAUUUCCGCAAAGCAGAUUCCCCAUUGAUAUCUGGAAUCGGCGCUUCGAGCUCUGAGCAUCGUCGAUUGUAGAGGUAGCAUGUGACACGUGCGGAUAAAUCUGGAAAAGAAGAUUUGCCCGUGGGUUGAAGCCCAGCUUUUGAGAAAGCUAGCGUGUCUUUAACUGUUGAAUUUCCCUCUUCGAUUUCUGAAUUGGUGCUUCGACAAACUGCCCGAGAUUUUCGCAAAGCAAUUUGCGUGUGACAAGUGACGACACGUCUGGACAAAUUGAUCUUUUGAAAUCCGGGAUUCGUCUCGUGGUUUCUGAGCAAGCCCAACUUUUAAGAAAUUAAAUGCCUCUUUUGAGAAAAGAAUCCGGCUUUUGAGAACGGAGCCCCGACUCUUCGAUUUGCGAGAGGACGCCUCUUCAAUUUCUGAGGAGCGCCUCUUUGAUUUCUUCUUUUUAUAGAGGCGCUAAUUUUGUUCCACAACACACUUGAGCUCCCUCCUGUAAACACUCCCUUCUUGCACUUGUUUAAUCUUGAUCAGUCCGACUCUCUUCUUUCUUCACCACCUCUGAAAAAUGUCUGGCCCUUCCGAUCGUCGUUUUGACUUGAACCGUGGUGAAGAGGCAGCUCCGCCUUCACCAGACAACAUAUGGCGCCCAUCUUUCAUAUCCCCUACCGGUCCUCUUACCGUUGGGGAUUCAGUGAUGAAAAAUGAUAUGACUGCUGCGGUGGUGGCCCGGAACCUUGUCACCCCCAGAGAUAACAGACUGCUCGCUAGACGAUCUGAUGAAUUGGUGGUUAAGGAGUCUCUGGCUCUUAGCGUGCAGUGUGCCGGUUCCGUGUCCAACAUGGCCCAACGCCUAUUUGCCCGAACCCGUCAUGUUGAAUCGUUGGUGGCUGAAUACAGAGUCUCAAAGAGGAGAUUAAAGGACUUAAGCAUGAAAAUAAACAAUUGCACAAGCUCGCACACAGCUAUGCCACCAGCAUGAAGAGGAAGAUUGACCAGAUGCAGGACACCGAUGGUCAAAUUUUACUUGAUCAUCGGAGGUUUGUGGGUUUGUUCCAACAACAUCUGCCUUCGUCUUCUGGAGCGGCACCGCGUAGUGAAGCUCCAACUGAUCAACCCUCUGCCGCCUCCUCCUUCUGUGGCCCCGCCGACUGCUGAAGCCCCGCCUACUACUGAAGCACCACCCGACCAAUGAAUACUAUUAGUUUACAUCAUUGUAAAAUAUUUGUACUUUUUUUUUUUUUUUAUGUAAUUUUUUUUUUUCAUUAAUUUUAAAUUUUAUCUCUUUUUUUUUUUUUUUUUUAUUAUAUAUAUAUAAAUUAAUGUAAAGAGACUUUGGUUAACCUUCCCCCACACUUAAACUAAAUAACACAAUCUCACAUAAAUCAACCAAAUAACACAACUAACUAAACAAAACAAAAUGAAAGCAGUAAAGAUAAGGGUGGAAAAAUGCAAAGCUGAUUGGGUUAGUGAUUCCAAAGUCUCCCUUCGUUGAAUGCUUGGGUUGCCUCCCAAGAAGCGCUUGAUUUAACGUCUUUAGCCGGACGCAUCUUUCCUUUAAAUUUCCCUCGGCUCCAUUUGAACCUAAAAUCAAAGAAAGAAAAAUAAAUCAAAUAUCAAAAGUAAAAUACACAAACACCAAUAUAAACAUAAACAAAAAUAAAAGGAUUAGCAAAGUUGCUAAUCCCCGGCAACGGCGCCAAAAUUUGAUGUGAAAAAUAAGUUAACACACAAAAUUAAACCCUCUUUUUGUCAAUUGUAGUAUAAGUAUAAGUAGGGUAUCGUUCUAGGCCGGGGAUUAGGAGGGCUUGCUAAUCUACUCUAAAUUAAUUUAAAAAUAUUAAACAAGACUCAAAGACACAAAACUAGGCUAAAAACUCUAAUAAUUCGAAACACACUUAAAAUGACUCAAAAUAAUAAAUACAAUCAAAAUAGACACUAGGAAUUGAAAUGGACGGAAAUUGAAUUAAAAGACUAAAAACAAUGAAAACUAACUAAAUAAUAUAAUUUAAUAAUGGAUGGGUGUUUGGUUUUGAUGAAAAGUAAAUUAAACUUAAUUAAAUUACAGAAUUGACAAAAACAUAAAAUUAAGGUAAAAUGAUAAAUGACGGACUAGCUAGAGGGUUCUUCUCCACACAUGACACAUAAGCAAUCUAAAUUGAUUUUCAGUUGUUCUUUCAAUAAAUUGUAAAUCUCAACGCCCCAAAUUAACCAUGAAUUGCAUAAAUUAAUUCUCAGAUUUUCCUUAAGUUAAUGGAUUGGAUGAUUGCAUACGACAACCCAAAAUAUUCCCCACAAGUUCCCUACAUGAAUUGCAUAAUAGAGAUACAAGCAAGAAUCAUUAAGUUCUAUGAAAAUCAUAAGCAUUGACGAGGCACUUGUUACUAUGAAUUGCAUGAAACUUAUGCCAAGAAUUUACUUAACACGAUUGUGAUUAACAACCUUCACUACUUGUGAAUAUAAGUUCAUAACGAUUAGGUGAAAUUCACUUAUAUUCUAGCAUCAAAUUCAUGCAUGUAAAUUAAGUAUGCAUCCUUAAUCGACAUACAAAAAUAAGUUAUCUAUCAAGCAGUUAAGCAAAUUAAAUCACAACUCAGAAAUCACAACUGAAGGUAAUCAAUUCAUAUUACAAAUAUAUUCAUGGCUUUGAAUUAACCUCUAGCCAAAAUAAAAUUAAUUACACAUUAUUAAAAACAGAAAUAAAAUAAAAGUUUAGAGAGAGUAAACCGAAACGUAAAACAUGAGUUUGAGAAGAUAACACCAAUAAGAAUGGAAUGAAGCCCUCUGCCUCUGUGCUCUGCGCAGUCCUCUCGGUUUUCUUGGCUGUCCCGUCGAGGCAGCUAUAAGCUGCUUCUUCCCGCAAGUCAGCUCCAAGACAGCCCUCACGUUUUCUGCGCUCUUCUUCUCUGACCUGAUGUCUCUGUCUGACACGCUGCCCAAAGGCAGCUCACCUUCGUGCUGACCUCCCUUCGUGCUGACCUCUGUCCCGUCUCACUCCCUCUGACUCCCUCUCGUGUAUCUGCGAGCUGCCCAAAGGCAGCUCCUUUUCUUCUUUCCACUUCGCCCCCUGUCCCUCUCUGCGAGCU
rnacentral:lncRNA from 1 species